AAGAUUUUGGCCUCCAACCAUCCCUAAGAGCACCAACAGAGCCAAGGCCUUGGGAGCAGCAGUGCUACCACGGUAAUGGACAGAGUUAUCGAGGCACAUACUUCACCACUGUCACAGGAAGAACCUGCCAAGCUUGGUCAUCUAUGACGCCACAUCAGCACAGUAGGACCCCAGAAAAGUACCCAAAUGCAUACGUCUUUGUUCUUUACCAUAAGAGAAGGAAGGGCCAACUGAAGUUUCUAUUAGAAGAGUCAUGUUUCGAGCUGACUGCUCAAGACUCAACUUGUGUCAGAUGCAAAGGGCAUAGCAAAAUGUCUCAGGAACAUUGCCUUGGAGCAAAGAGUCUGAGAGAAGAGAAAUAUUAGGCUGGCUCUCCUUCCUCCUAGUUUUAUGGAGCAGGAGGAUAUCUGGAGGCGAGGAGAUCACAUUAAGGAAAAAGUCAGGACCACAAACGACCAAACACUUAGAGUACCUUUCCACACCACCCACUGAGGGCCAAUGCAGCCUUUCCACCUUGGAAUACUAUCAUUCUAACCUCCAAUUCCUGAAGUGAAAGUUGUGUUGGCCUUUUCUGUCUUGGUUCAAGAGAAAAAAAUAUUUGCAUAUCUAUGGAGAGGCAAAUGUCUCUCUUUCUGUAUCUACGUCUUUUCCAAUGGGUAGAAACACACUUGGUCCUGAGCACCAGUGCUCUGACAAGAUACAGGUUGCCAGCAAGGGAAGAGCAAAGGCAAGAAGGCAGAUGAGAGUCAACAAAGAGGCAGAUGCUGAAAAUUAAGCCUGGUGGGUAGAUGGUCAGAAGCCCUGGUCUGACCACCCUGUGUCCAGCCUCUCUGCUGUAAGUGGCUACCAAAGACAUGGAAAAAUGGUUUCUGCAUGUUAGACAACAGACGGUAGAGGACCAAGAGAAUUGUGAGAGGGGGAACAAUGCGAUCAACUCCAUAAGUGCCCUCCCUGGCUGUCUUCUUGGAGACCCUUCCUGCACUGAAGAGCAGGGAGAUGGAGCACAUGUGGACUGUAGCUAUCUUGCUGAAUGGAGGAGAGAGACUGGAGUUUGGGAUUACUCAGGUAGCUAGGAUUUUUCUAGGCCUGCUAAGAAUGAGAGCGGAUGUGUGGAGGAAAGGAGCUCUGGGAAUAUGCAUAGAAGUCUCCUCAAGUCAUUGGCUAAACAUGAAGCUGCUUGUGCACAGAAAAGGGCUCCACAGGAGAGUGGGGCCAAGGACAUCUACUGAGCAACUACAAGGGGACAACUAUGAGAAAACAGCAUCUACAAGGAAACAGUGAGCUCAGUAAAGAUGACAGUGCUCACAUAGCACUAGCGGAUAUUAGAGUUCUAACCAGCCAGAGGAGAGAGAAGUCACUGAACAUCUUGGGCAUUCAGUAGAGACCCCAGAAAAGCCAGACUUUAAGGGUAGAAUUAAUAUAUUCCUAGAAUAAAGGCAGCUCCAGACAAAACCUAGCUGAG
rnacentral:lncRNA from 1 species